rnacentral:rRNA from 1 species
UCUACAGGGGGAUAACGGUCCGAAAGGAUUGCUAAUACCGCAUAAGACCACGAGGCCGCAUGUUCAUGAGGUCAAAGGAGAGAUCCGGUAGAAGGUGGACUCGCGUCCCAUUAGAUAGUUGGUGAGGUAACGGCCCACCAAGUCGACGAUGGGUAGCCGACCUGAGAGGGUGAUCGCCCACAUUGGAACUGAGAUACGGUCCAGACUCCUACGGGAGGCAGCAGUGGGGAAUAUUGGGCAAUGGGCGAAAGCCUGACCCAGCAACGCCGCGUGAGGGAAGAAGGUCUUCGGGUUGUAAACCUCUGUCCUUGGUGAAAAGGAAGGAUGGUAGCCAAGGAGGAAGCUCCGGCUAACUACGUGCCAGCAGCCGCGGUAAUACGUAGGGAGCGAGCGUUGUCCGGAAUGAUUGGGCGUAAAGGGCGUGUAGGCGGCUGAUUAAGUCUGAAGUGAAACCCCUGGAUUCAAUUCAGGGACUGCUUUGGAAACUGGUCAGCUUGAGUGYWGGAGAGGCUAUCGGAAUUCCCGGUGUAGCGGUGAAAUGCGUAGAGAUCGGGAGGAACACCAGUGGCGAAGGCGGGUAGCUGGACUGUAACUGACGCUGAGGCGCGAAAGUGUGGGGAGCAAACAGGAUUAGAUACCCUGGUAGUCCACACUGUAAACGAUGAAUGCUAGGUGUAGGGGGUAUCGACCCCUUCUGUGCCGCAGUAAACACAAUAAGCAUUCCGCCUGGGGAGUACGGCCGCAAGGUUGAAACUCAAAGGAAUUGACGGGGGCCCGCACAAGCAGCGGAGCAUGUGGUUUAAUUCGACGCAACGCGAAGAACCUUACCAGGUCUUGACAUCCAGUAAAAGCAUCAGAGAAGAUGUGUGAGCUUGCUCAUACUGAGACAGGUGGUGCAUGGUUGUCGUCAGCUCGUGUCGUGAGAUGUUGGGUUAAGUCCCGCAACGAGCGCAACCCUUGUUUACAGUUACUAACGCGUAAAGGUGAGGACUCUGUAGAGACUGCCGGGGACAACUCGGAGGAAGGUGGGGACGACGUCAAAUCAUCAUGCCCCUUAUGACCUGGGCUACACACGUGCUACAAUGGCCGUCACAAAGAGGAGCGAACGCGCAAGCGUAAGCAGAUCUCAAAAAAACAAUCUCAAUUCAAA